UACAGAGGGUGCAAGCGUUAUUCGGAAUUACUGGGCGUAAAGCGUGCGUAGUCGGUUAUUUAAGUCGGGUGUGAAAUCCCCGGGCUCAACCUGGGAAUUGCAUUCGAUACUGGAUAGCUAGAGUUCGGCAGAGGGAAGCGGAAUUUCGGGUGUAGCGGUGAAAUGCGUAGAUAUCCGAAGGAACAUCAGUGGCGAAAGCGGCUUCCUGGACCAGAACUGACGAUCAGGCACGAAAGCGUGGGGAGCAAACAGG
rnacentral:rRNA from 1 species